rnacentral:rRNA from 1 species
CUGUAUGCGUACACGGUGGCGUACCCCUGCACGUGGUCCGGGGGAUUGGAGAGGUGGCCUGGACUUUGGGCGGAGGGGUGAGUAAUGCUUACGAAUCUGCCUAUUAGUGGGGGACAACAUAUCGAAAGGGAUGCUAAUACCGCAUACGUCCUACGGGAGAAAGCAGGGGAUCUUCGGACCUUGCGCUAAUAGAUGAGCCUAAGUCGGAUUAGCUAGUUGGUGGGGUAAAGGCCUACCAAGGCGACGAUCUGUAGCGGGUCUGAGAGGAUGAUCCGCCACACUGGGACUGAGACACGGCCCAGACUCCUACGGGAGGCAGCAGUGGGGAAUAUUGGACAAUGGGGGGAACCCUGAUCCAGCCAUGCCGCGUGUGUGAAGAAGGCCUUAUGGUUGUAAAGCACUUUAAGCGAGGAGGAGGCUACUUUAGUUAAUACCUAGAGAUAGUGGACGUUACUCGCAGAAUAAGCACCGGCUAACUCUGUGCCAGCAGCCGCGGUAAUACAGAGGGUGCGAGCGUUAAUCGGAUUUACUGGGCGUAAAGCGUGCGUAGGCGGCUUAUUAAGUCGGAUGUGAAAUCCCCGAGCUUAACUUGGGAAUUGCAUUCGAUACUGGUGAGCUAGAGUAUGGGAGAGGAUGGUAGAAUUCAGGUGUAGCGGUGAAAUGCGUA